GACGAACGCUGGCGGCGUGCUUAACACAUGCAAGUCGAACGGAAAGGCCUGCUUUCCCUUGUGGAUUGCGGGUACUCGAGUGGCGAACGGGUGAGUAACACGUGAGUGAUCUGCCCCCAACUUGGGUAUAAGCCUGGGAAACUGGGUCUAAUUCCCGAUAGGACUGCAGGGUGGUGCCUGUGGUGGAAAACGAUUUUCUAGUGGUUGGGGAUGAGCUCGCGGCCUAUCAGCUUGUUGGUGGGGUAAUGACCUACCAAGGCGGCGACGGGUAGCCGGCCUGGGGGGGUGGACGGCCACAUUGGGACUGAGAUACGGCCCAGACUCCUACGGGAGGCAGCAGUGGGGAAUAUUGCGCGAUGGGCGGAAGCCUGAUGCAGCGACGCCGCGUGGGGGAUGACGGCCUUCGGGUGGUAAACUCCUUUCGACAGCGAGGAAGCCACCUGGUUGGAAGGGUGGUGACGGUAGUGGUAGAAGAAGCACCGGCUAACUACGUG
rnacentral:rRNA from 1 species